rnacentral:rRNA from 1 species
ACAGAGGUCUCAAGCGUUGUUCGGAUUCAUUGGGCGUAAAGGGUGCGUAGGCGGCGCCGUAAGUCUGGUGUGAAAUCCCGGAGCUUAACUCCGGAACUGCACUGGAUACUGCGGUGCUCGAGGACUGGAGAGGAGAUUGGAAUUCACGGUGUAGCAGUGAAAUGCGUAGAUAUCGUGAGGAAGACCAGUGGCGAAGGCGGAUCUCUGGACAGUUCCUGACGCUGAGGCACGAAGGCCAGGGGAGCAAACGGGA